rnacentral:tRNA from 1 species
GGGGCGGUAGUCUAGCUUGGUAUGAUUCUGGAUUUGGGAUCCAGAGAUCACCGGUUCAAAUCCGGUCCGCCCCACCA